CUGUCGGCCAUGACGUGCGUUAUAUUUUCGUCUUGGCUUAUUGUGACACACAACACAAACAACAAAUUGUGUGUAUUGUUGAUAGCCAGAUAUUAAGGGCCAACGAUCCGAGGUCGCAUUAGGAAUAAUUCGCUGCGGCAUUAGUUCAUUCUAUACUGCUUAGGAUACAUAACUGGACCGCGGAAAUACCGCUUGGUCAUCAGAAUGCUCAGUAAAAGCAAUAUAUGCUAUGAGGAUGUUUACAUCAUCAAGUGCUUUAGAGAGGCUACCAAACUUCAGCUACUUGCUUACACAUUCCGGAGACAGUUGAGCGGUCUCUGUAGCAAAGCUUCUGCAAAUGAUGUGUUUUAAGGGUUGUUUGCUGACAUCAGUGCACAUCAAGCCAUGCCCAACCAAAUGGUAAAUUUUGAAAUAAGCCAGAAUAAGGCAGAAUUACAUCAACUUGCUUAUUGCAAUGGUCUGUUGAGGCAAACGGUGAGCUACAAGCUUGACCUGAACUGGAGCAAGGCCAGAUGGAUUGCUGAAGAUAGGAAGGCUUGGCAUGAGCUUGUGAAGGCCCUCUGCACAUCUGGGGUGCUUUACGACAAAAGCACAAACUCGUUCCUGUCCCACAUGUCCAAAAAAAACAUGACCUGAAAAGAUGGGCAAGUAGAAAAAUGAUCAUCCUGCGAAUAUUCUAUGGAACAUGACAUGAGAUAGACGCUAAGACAAACUUGAGUUGACCAUAACCAAAACAAGUGAAAGAUUGUUAUUCUAACACUACACGAAGCACAGGGGAAA